UCGAGAAUAAUUCGCAAUGGACGAAAGUCUGACGAUGCGACGCCGUGUGAACGAUGAAGGCCUUCGGGUUGUAAAGUUCUGUCGCCUGUGAACAAGAGUAUGCGGUAAAUAAUCGCAUACUUUGAGUGUAACAGGAAAGGAAGCACCGGCUAACUCCGUGCCAGCAGCUGCGGUAAUACGGAGGGUGCAAGCGUUAGUCGGAAUUAUUGGGCGUAAAGGGUGCGUAGGCGGGAAUAUAAGUCAGAUGUGAAAAACUAAGGC
rnacentral:rRNA from 1 species